CUUCCUGUUCUUCAACCUCUCCUAGAAAGACUGGCUGAUGACCUUCAACUCCAGAUUGAAGGUUAGCAAAGCCCAAAUCUUCUCAGGGCAAGGAUGGAAGGAAGACAAGGUAUUGCACUCACGUGAAGAGGAUUUAGCCGUGGACACCAGGGCACCGGUGAUGAGGAGGAGGAAGAGGGAGAUGGCAGCCAUGGAGACUUUCAUCCUCCUGGGUUGAGGGAGCUGCUGCAGGAGGAGAACUUGCCUGGUAGGGGCUUCUGAAGCUCCUGGGCUGAGGUGGUGGUAAGAAAUGACCUUCAAGGCAAAGUAUUUCUUACAAUAAGGGAACCAAGAUUACAAAGGGAAGUAGGAAGCAGUGAUGCCUCAGCAAUUUCAUAUCCUGAACAUUUGUUGAGGGUGGAGUGAGGGAAGCAUGGAGAGCCAAGAUUUCAGGGAGGAAAUUGCCUUCUAUUCCCAGUGGCAAUACAUUUAACUCCUUUGAUAUAAGCCCUUCCUUUGGUAUAGGCUACAGCACAGGGCCUGGGGGUACUGUUGCGCACUUAGUUCAAGAUCUAAAGGCUGGGAUGUGGCCUGUGACCAUUUGGGGAGGUUCAGAAUCUGUUUGUCUGGAGAUCAGAGGUGAUUUAGGGUACCAGGAUGAGGUCAGGAGCUCCCCAUGUCCAGUCUCACUCAUCUGGACUAGGAACUCCUCACUUAAACAUUUAACCAGAACCUCCAGCUCCCAGACUCAUUGCUACCCUCUCACCGUACCCUGGGGUGAGGAAACACUGUGAUGCUCCGUAGAUAAUUUAUUUAACAAACAUUACAUAACAGCUACACACAGCAGCCACUGUCCCAAAUGUUUUAUGAAUAAUAGCCCAUUUUAUCUUAAAUAAGCAAUGGAGGAAACUGAGGCACAGCAUAAGUAACUUGCCCAAGCUUUGACAGUUGAUAAGUGGAAUCUGGGUUCAGACCCAGGUAGUCUGGUUCCCAAGUCUGUGUUCUUAACCACUAUGCUGUGGAGAAACCUGGGGACCCCAACUGAGCUGUCUCUGAAAGUGACCUGGCUUUUCUACAAAGCCUCUAGUCUUAGCUCUUUCUGAUCUCGGGUGUAUCCCUUUAGGACCUUCUCCUGGCUUCUGACUUUUGUCACAGAGAAGCUUGAUGAGUACCUAGAAAAUGCUGUGUUCAGGGAUGGCCAGUAGGCUUCACUGAUUAGCAGUGGGCUGGAGUUCUGCGUUGCAUAGUAUUCCAAGGCCGUGUCCACACACCUCAGAAGAAGUGCUGUGACUAACACAUGCAGCUCAUGUGCUAUGUACUUGCCAUCCUUAGAUUGGUCUAAACUGGCCAUUUACUGAGGAGGAAUUCAGGCUCAAGAAAGGGCCAGGGACUUGCUCAUAUUUAUAGGAUGAGCGGGGUGCAGAAUAGAUCCACCUCUGCAGACUCAGUCCAAUGGCCUUUACCAUAUUCAGCUUAGGGGCCAUUUUGCUUACUGUUGCAUUUAGAAGGCUGUUUACAUCUCCUCUCCUUUCCUGGACUCAUCAGGGCAGGGAACAUCUGUUAUUUAUCUUUGCCCAUUCAUAAAGAGCCUAACACAAUUUGUAAAUACAUGUUUUAGAAGAACCAUGAAUAAAGUACUUGAGCUGGUCUAAGUAUGUGCAUCUCACAGGAAAUGGCUGAAUUCUCAUGCUGAGGUGCCAAGACAGCCAUUUAUUAGACAUGUUCUGUAUUUGUUAUCAUCAAUAACAAAACUAUUUAAACUCUUCAAAUCAAACAAUCUAAGGAAAUAAGUUGUUUCUGGGGAGAAUAUGAGUUGGAAGGAAACAGUGUUUACUUUGUUUUCAUGGCGACUUAGCCCACUUGCCAAGUUGUUGCUAGGAACCUUACAGGAAAUCUCUUGAUUUUUCAAGCAGUUAUUAAGUUCCUACCUACAUUAGUCUGUAUAUACUAAUUGCUAAUAAAUAACCCCUAAAUCUCAGGGGAUUAAUUAAA